ACGGUACAACGAGUCGCAAGCUCGCGAGAGUAAGCUAAUCUCUUAAAGCCGUUCUCAGUUCGGACUGUAGGCUGCAACCCGCCUACACGAAGUCGGAAUCGCUAGUAAUCGCGGAUCAGCAUGCCGCGGUGAAUACGUUCCCGGGCCUUGUACACACCGCCCGUCACACCAUGGGAGUUUGUAACGCCCAAAGUCGGUGGCCUAACCUUUGUGGAGGGAGCCGCCUAAGGCGGGACAGAUGACUGGGGUGAAGUCGUAACAAGGUAAC
rnacentral:rRNA from 1 species